UCGAUCUCAGAUCAGGUAGGACUACCCGCUGAACUUAAGC
rnacentral:rRNA from 1 species